CCUACGGGGAGCAGCAGUGAGGAAUAUUGGUCAAUGGGCGCGAGCCUGAACCAGCCAAGUAGCGUGAAGGAUGACUGCCCUACGGGUUGUAAACUUCUUUUAUAAAGGAAUAAAGUGAGGCACGUGUGCCUAUUUGUAUGUACUUUAUGAAUAAGGAUCGGCUAACUCCGUGCCAGCAGCCGCGGUAAUACGGAGGAUCCGAGCGUUAUCCGGAUUUAUUGGGUUGAAGGGGAGCUGUGAUGGGUUGUUAAGUCAGUUGUGAAAGUUUGCGGCUCAACCGUAAAAUUGCAAUUGAUACUGGCAGUCUUGAGUACAGUUGAGGUAGGCGGAAUUCGUGGUGUAGCGGUGAAAUGCUUAGAUAUCACGAAGAACUCCGAUUGCGAAGGCAGCUUACUAAACUGCCACUGACAUUGAGGCUCGAAAGUGUGGGUAGCAAACAGGAUUAGAUACCCGUGUAGUC
rnacentral:rRNA from 1 species